AAUAAUUUAACAGCACAGAAAGAUAUUCCGACAUUGGCUGAGAGAUAGAUUUUCAUAAGGCCUACUUUUAAAAAUUGAAAUCUGUAUCAGGUUUCUUGACAUUGGCAAAGAGAGAGAUUGAUACUUUUAAAAAUUGAAAUCUGUAUCAGGUUUCUUGACAUUGGCAAAGAGAGAGAUUGAUACUUUUAAAAAUUGAAAUCUGUAUCAGGUUUCUUGACAUUGGCAAAGAGAGAGAUUGAUACUUUUAAAAAUUGAAAUCUGUAUCAGGUUUCUUGACAUUGGCAAAGAGAGAGAUUGCCGUAAGGUUUAAUUGUAAAAGUCAAAAUCUGUAUCGGGUUUCUUGACAUUGUGUAUCCUUCGG
rnacentral:lncRNA from 1 species